rnacentral:tRNA from 4 species
CGGGGCGUAGCGCAGCUUGGUAGCGCACUUGCAUGGGGUGCAAGGGGUCGGAGGUUCAAAUCCUCUCGCCCCGACCA